GGGCUCAGUGGUAGAGCAUCUCCUCGGCAUGCAGAAAAUCCCAGGUUCAAUCCUUGGCAUCUCCA
rnacentral:tRNA from 1 species